rnacentral:tRNA from 2 species
GGGCGGUUAGCUCAGGGGUAGAGCAUUGCCUUCACACGGCAAAGGUCACUGGUUCGAUCCCAGUAUCGCCUA